GCCCCCCGGGGGUCCCGUCCUGCCCCACCCCCCUGACCCCACGGCUGCUCCCUGCAGGUGCAGCGCAUCAAGCAGCUGAGCUGCGGGCUGCGGCAGGCGCUGGAGGGCGGCGUGGAGGGGCUGCGGCCCCCGGAGGUGGGUGGGGGUCUGUGGGUCCUCCGUGUCACCCCACUGUGUCCCUCUGUGUCCCAUCAUGUCCCUCUGUGUCCCUCUGUGUCCCAUCACGUCCCUCUGUGUCCCAUUGUGUCCCAUUGUGUCCCAUUGCAUCCCUCUGAGUCCCAUUGUGUCCCAUUGCAUCCCUGUUUCCCAUCGUGUCCCAUUGCGUUCCUCUGUGUCCCAUCGCAUCCUUCUGUGUCCCAUCGUGUCCCUUUAUGUCCCUCUGUGUCCCAUCGUAUCCCAUUGCAUCCCUCUGUGUCCCAUCAUGUCCCAUCAUAUCCCUCUGUGUCCCAGUGUCCCAUCACGUCCCUCUGUGUCCCAGUGUCCCACUGAAUCCCUCUGUGUCCCAUCAUGUCCCAUUGUGUCCCAUCGUAUCCCAUUGCAUCCCUCUGAGUCCCACUGUGUCCCAUUGCAUCCCUGUAUCCCAUUGUGUCCCAUUGGAUCCUUCUGUGUCCCAUCGUGUCCUAUUUCAUUCCUCUGUGUCCCUCUGUGUCCCGUUGCAUCCCUGUGUCCUAUCGUGUCCCAUCAUGUCCCAUUGUAUCCCUGUGUGUCCCAUCGUGUCCCACUGUGUCUGAUCACGUCCCAUUGUGUCCCUCUAUGUCCCUGUGUGACCCAUCGUGUC
rnacentral:lncRNA from 1 species